GAUCCUGGCUCAGGAUGAACGCUAGCUACAGGCUUAACACAUGCAAGUCGAGGGGGCGAGCAUGGUCUUAGCUUGCUAAGGCCGAUGGCGACCGGCGCACGGGUGAGGUAACACGUAUCCAACCUGCCGUCUACUCUUGGACAGCCUUCUGAAAGGAAGAUUAAUACCAAGAUGGCAUCAUGAGUUCGUCAUGUUACACAUGAUUAAAGGUAUUCCGGGUAGACGAUGGGG
rnacentral:rRNA from 1 species